rnacentral:rRNA from 1 species
AUACGUAGGGUGCGAGCGUUGUCCUGAAUUACUGGGCGUAAAGAGCUCGUAGGUGGUUUGUCGCGUCGUCUGUGAAAUUCCGGGGCUUAACUCCGGGCGUGCAGGCGAUACGGGCAUAACUUGAGUACUGUAGGGGAGACUGGAAUUCCUGGUGUAGCGGUGAAAUGCGCAGAUAUCAGGAGGAACACCGGUGGCGAAGGCGGGUCUCUGGGCAGUAACUGACGCUGAGGAGCGAAAGCAUGGGUAGCGAACAGGAUUAGAUACCCUGGUAGUCCAUGCCGUAAACGGUGGGCGCUAGGUGUAGGGGUCUUCCACGACUUCUGUGCCGUAGCUAACGCAUUAAGCGCCCCGCCUGGGGAGUACGGCCGCAAGGCUAAAACUCAAAUGAAUUGACGGGG